rnacentral:tRNA from 1 species
UGGAGCAUAGCGGACUUGAACCGCUGACAUCUACCUUGCAAAAGUAGCGCUCUCCCAACUGAGCUAAUGCCCC